rnacentral:rRNA from 1 species
UACGUAGGGUGCGAGCGUUAAUCGGAAUUACUGGGCGUAAAGCGUGCGCAGGCGGUUCGUUAAGUCAGCUGUGAAAGCCCCGGGCUCAACCUGGGAAUGGCGGUUGAAACUGGCGAACUUGAAUCUGGCAGAGGGGGGUGGAAUUCCACGUGUAGCAGUGAAAUGCGCAGAUAUCAGGAAGAACACCAAUGGCGAAAGCAGCUCUCUGGGACGGUACUGACGCUGAGACGCGAAAGCGUGGGGAGCGAACAGG